rnacentral:rRNA from 1 species
AGGGGGAGGUGAAUUCGGUAGGAUAUGAGGACGAACACCCAGAGGCAAAGGUGGCCACCUGAACUAGAUGUGACGGUCAGAUGUGAGAGGCGUGGGGACAAACAGGUCCGGAACCUGGGUAGUCCAAUUCCAUAAAUAAAGAAGUGAUAUUAGUCGAGGAUUUUGAUUUAAGUGAAGCAGUCAGGCAUAAAGCACUCUUCCCGGGGAGUACGGUCGCAAGAUCAAAUCUCAAAGUAACUAGACGGGGGGCCGUCACAUGUGGUGGAGCAUGUGGUUGAUUUAGGAGCGACGCGCAGAUCUUUACCAACCCUGGACAUCCGGAUCGCGAUUUCCAGAGAUGGAUAUCAUCAGUUCAGCUGGAUAGGGUACUGAUGUUACAUCGUUGUUCUCAGCUGAAAGUGUGAGAUGUUGGGUUAGGCCCCGUUCACAGCGCAACCCUGGUUGCAAGAUGCUAUCAUUCAGUGGGCAAUAUUCGGGAGACUGCCGGUGACAAGCCGGAGGAAGCCGGGGAUGAGGUCCAGUCUUCAUGAUCAUCAUGUGUGGGCCUACACAGAUGGUACCCUUGUAAGUCCUUUGGGCGGCGACUUAGGAUUCUCACCAAUCCCAAAAAGUUAUCUCAGUGUGGGAAGCACUCUGCAAUUGGUCUGCAGGCAUUAGGAGGUGUUAGUCACAGUGGAUCAGCAGGUAUCCGGUGAAUAAUUGCAAGGCCUUGUACACUACUCCCGUCACCCCAUGUGACUGGGUUUUACCCGAAGACGUUGGGGAACCUUUUAGGAGGCAGCCGGCCACGGUAAGGUCAGGGGUUGGGUUGAAGUCGUAACAAGGUUACAAUAAAGCUUAUUUCUGCAUCCAUCCCACACACGGCCGGCCGGGCGAGCAUGCAGCUAGAGGACUCAACCCGCCUUAUUGAAAUUUAAGGAUA